UACGUAGGGGGCAAGCGUUGUCCGGAAUCAUGGGCGUAAAGCGCGCGCAGGCGGCCCGGUAAGUCCGCUCUGAAAGUCCAGGGCUCAACCCUGGAAAGCGGGUGGAUACUGCCGGGCUAGAAUCCGGAAGAGGCGAGUGGAAUUCCUGGUGUAGCGGUGGAAUGCGCAGAUAUCAGGAGGAACACCAAUAGCCGAAGGCAGCUCGCUGGGACGGUAUUGACGCUAAGGGCGCGAAAGCGUGGGGAGCAAACAGGGAUUAGAUACCCUUGAU
rnacentral:rRNA from 1 species